AUUGAACGCUGGCGGCAGGCCUAACACAUGCAAGUCGAACGAGUGGCGGACGGGUGUGUAAUGUCUGGGAAAUUGCCUGAUGGAGGGGGAUAACUACUGGAACCGUUACUUAAUACCGCAUACCAUCAGUUUGGCCCGGAUGUGAUUAGCUAGUUGGUGGGGUAACGGCUAACCAGGGCGACGAUCCCUAGCUGGUCUGGAAGGAUGACCGGCCACACUGGAACUGGGACACGGUCCGGACUCCUACGGAAGGCAGCAGUGGGGAAUAUUGGACAAUGGGGGAAAGCCGGAUGCAGCACUGCCGCGUGUAUGAAGAAGUCCUUCGGGUGGUAAAGUAUUUUCAGCGGGGAGGCGUUACCCACAGAAGAAGCACCGGCUAACUCCGUGCCAGCAGCCGCGGUAAUUC
rnacentral:rRNA from 1 species